GGACGAACGCUGGCGGCGUGCUUAACCCAUGCAAGUCGAACGAUGAAGCGGGUGCUUGCACUCGUGGAUUAGUGGCGAACGGGCGAGUAACACGUGAGUAACCUGUCCUUUUCUUUGGGAUAACGGCUGGAAACGGCUGCUAAUACUGGAUAUUCAGGCUGCAUCGCAUGGUGUGGUUUGGAAAGGUUUUUUCUGGGAUUGGGUGGGCUCGCGGCCUAUCAGCUUGUUGGUGGGGUGAUGGCUUACCAAGGCUUUGACGGGUAGCCGGCCUGAGAGGGUGGUCGGUCGCACUGGGACUGAGAUACGGCCCAGACUCCUACGGGAGGCAGCAGUGGGGAAUAUUGCACAAUGGACGAAAGUUUGAUGCAGCGACGCCGCGUGGAGGGUGUAGGCCUUCGGGUUGUGAACUCCUUUUUCUCGCGAAAAAGGCACAGUUUUGGCUGUGUUGAUGGUAGUGGGGGAAGAAGCGCCGGCUAACUACGUG
rnacentral:rRNA from 1 species